UCAAGAUCUGGUCAGAUAUGACUUUGUCGAAUUAAACCAGGAGCUUGGAAACUAAUUUUUGAAUGAAACCAACUGAGGGAUACUUAGUUGUGCCAUGGUGAUACCGAGAGAGGCAAUUGCUAAGUUAUGAUACUCCCAUACCUUUACUAGAUGCGAACGAUUCCGGAGAAGAAGAAGAAGUAGUUCGGACAAGGAUUUUAUUUAUAUUGACGGGAUUCUUACAUUGAUGAAGUUGAAGAAGUCUAGGGACAAAUAAGCCAAGGCAAGCCAUCUUUUGAUCUCUGAUAUGAUGUCUCUUUGGAUGUCAUCUUGUGCUAUCAAUAGCAUCUUGGUUCUAUGUGUGAUGAUCUCCAUAUUGUUGUCAUCUAUGCUUGGAUGCAAGCAUGGUACCUCUAGUAGUUUUAUCUUGUCAAGGUCUUGGUAAUUGGUUGGGUGUAUGGUAUCAUGGCCAUUGCUAUCCAACUUGCUUUCUAUAUUUAGCUUGAAUAUGUUCCACCUCGGGACAAGAUUCAUACUACACCCCCUUCUAGUGUAGAUGUAUCAAUACCAUGUUUUUGGUGUAUUCUCAAAUUGUGAUGAGUAUGCCUGUUUUCCCUUAAUGGUGUUGGUGUUGGUCAAUUCUCAUCCCUAUCUAUCUAUUGAUUGGGUUAGAUAGCACCACAAAUCUGAAAGUAUAUUUCCUCUUGUGUUGUCAUAAUACAUGCUUAGCUCAAGCAAGUAUGAUCCACUCCAAUACCUCUUUUUCAUACCCUCAAUGGCGUGAUGACCCUCAUCUCGGCCAUAGUGUUGUAUUAGUUCAACUCAUGAAACUUUAGAUUGGGAACCCCUCAAGGUUUACCUUGUUGUAAAUGUUUAUGAAAACCUUGGGUGAGGCAAUCUUACCCAAGCGUAUGGUUUAUGAAAGGAAAGGAUCUUGACAAAGAUGGUUGGAAAGAGGAAGGUGUGUGUGACUUGGGUUUUUGAGAAAAACGACACAUGGUUCUUUGUAUUCACCCGGAACAACUAAACAGCGCAACCAUAGCUACUCCAACGUGGGCACGGGGCUUAACUUGACGUUUGUUCUUCUUAGCAUGAGGCACCGCACAACUAUACAAGGGUACGGUUACCCCCGAGUCCGGGUUGUCAUGGUUGGGACAAUAGUAUAACGGGAGGCCUUCGGGGCUGACCCGUCCGGAAGACACUAUGGGUCUCCUGGCUUGGCGGUGGAGCCACGCUCUAGAGGAGGUGAGCUGCCACGGUGCCGGGGAGGUACAUACUCCAUAGGGUAGGACCUCGUGUUAAGUCGAAUGGGCGAAAGGUUAUGUCCGGGUAUCCGUCGUGGCAUAUGUCGUUAUGCGGGGAUGAUGCCCACACGAUAGGUAUCCGGAUAGUUGUGGUGAAAGUGUGCAAACUCUGCAGAGUCAAAACUAUUCGAAUAGCCGCGUCCGCGGUCAUGGACGGUUGGGAUGGCCGUUACAGAGCUGUGUCGAGUUUUGGUUUUGAAAAUGAUUUCCAAAGGAAAUGUGUGUUGGAAGUACCGGAAGGGUACGGGAAAGAUGGUGUGCCGACCAUGUGGAGAUGGUCGAGGAAAAUGAAACAAAAGAGGGUGACCCUUCCUAGUGUU